rnacentral:rRNA from 1 species
GAUGAACGCUGGCGGCGUGCCUAAUACAUGCAAGUCGAACGCUGAAAAGAGGAGCUUGCUCCUCUUGGGUGACAUGCGAACGGGUGAGUACCGCGUAGGUACCCUCCUUUGUGACGGGGAAUAACUAGUGGAAACGAUACCUAAUACCGCCUACCAAUGGAAGCGACAGGUCUUCUAAUUUAAAGCGGCCAUUGCGUCACUUCAAGAUGGACCUGGGUUGUAUUAGCUAGUGGGUAGGGUAAUGGCUUACCAAGGCGACGAUACAUAGCCGACCUGAGAGGUUGAUCGGCCACACGGGAACGGAGAAACGGCCCAGACUCCUACGGGAGGCAGCAGUGGGGAAUUUUGGGCAAUGGGCGAAAGCCUGACGGAGCAAGGCCGGGGGAGGGAGGAAGGUCUUCGGAUGGUAAAAUGCUUUUAUAAGGAAGGAAGAGAGUGGUAAUGAAAAAUGCACGUCUUGACGGUACCUUAUCAGAAAGCGACGGCUAACUACGUG